AACAAAAAAGGAAGGAAAGUUUGGGAAAAGCAAAAAGGGUUGGGAAGGAAACAAGUGAAGAGGAAGCAGAAUGCAAUAAAACCGUGUGCUGUAGACAGAGCUGUUUUUGACAGGGUGGAAACAGUGUUGUUUUACACUACCAUUAAGACAUGUUAACCAAACUAUGUUACAGACUUUUCAUUAAGACCCUAAAGAAUCAUAUCAACUUGGGCAUCCAAAAUGGGCAUCCGAUAACCCCUUUAAAAUUUUUUUCCUAAUAAAUA